GAUGAACGCUGGCGGCGUGCCUAACACAUGCAAGUCGAACGGAAAGGCCCUGCUUUUGUGGGGUGCUCGUUUGGCGAACGCGUGAGUAACACGUGUGUAUCCUGCCCUUGUCUUUCGGGUAACUUCACGAAACUGCGGCUAAUAUCGGAUAGGAGAUCCUGCUCCAUGGUGGGGGUUGGAAAGUUUCGGCGUUUGGGUAUGGACUCGCGGGUUAGUAGCUUGUUGGUCGGGUAGUGGCUUACCAAGGCUACCACGGGUAGCCGGCCUGAGAGAGUGAUCGGCCACCUUGGAGCGGAGACACGGUCCAGAGGACUACGAGAGGCAGCAGUAGGGUAUGUGAGGCAAUGGGCGGGAGCAUGACACAGUGAGCCCGAGUGUGAGACGAAGGCCUUCGGAGCGUAAUGCCGUGUUAUUGGGUAAGAACAGCUGUCGCCUGUGACGAAGCGUGAGUGACGGUAACGAAUAAAGAAGCACCGGCUAACUACGUG
rnacentral:rRNA from 1 species